GACGAACGCUGGCGGCGUGCUUAACACAUGCAAGUCGAACGGACAGACAGAGAGCUUGCUCUCUUGAAGUUAGUGGCGAACGGGUGAGUAACGCGUAAUCAACCUGCCCUUCAGAGGGGGAUAACAACGGGAAACCGUUGCUAAUACCGCGUACGAUUCAUGAACGGCAUCGUUUAUGAAUGAAAGGUGGCCUCUAUGUAUAAGCUAUCGCUGACGGAGGGGCUUGCGUCUGAUUAGCUAGUUGGAGGGGUAACGGCCCACCAAGGCAAUGAUCAGUAGCCGGUCUGAGAGGAUGAACGGCCACAUUGGGACUGAGACACGGCCCAAACUCCUACGGGAGGCAGCAGUGGGGAAUCUUCCGCAAUGGACGAAAGUCUGACGGAGCAACGCCGCGUGAGUGAUGAAGGUCUUCGGAUUGUAAAGCUCUGUUAAUCGGGACGAAAGAGUUCUGCGUGAAUAAUGCAGAAAAGUGGCGGUACCGGAAUAGAAAGCCACGGCUAACUACGUGCCAGCCGCCGCAGUAA
rnacentral:rRNA from 1 species